rnacentral:tRNA from 1 species
GAGGCUCAGCGGUAGAGCAUCUGUUUGGCACGCGGAAGACCCCAAGUUCAAUCCCUGCCAUCUCCA